UCGCCAUCUCGCCCGCAACACGACUCUCCUCCUGCCCCCUCCCUGCCUGGCUGCAUCAGACCGAAGGGGAGAGAAGGUGGUCGGCACACAGACACAAGCAGUGGAAGACAUUACCUUGGAAAGAUUGUUUUCUGGUUGUUGCUUAUCGCCGUCUGUGCGCCGUCCGUAGCGCGACACGUCAUCCUCUCCCUUCCUUACAGCCUCUUGCCGACAGAGACGGAGGACGUAGUUGCGGCACCCCCCCUCCCCCCAUCUUCCCUCCCUUGUGUUCAUCGACAGCGCGCGAGGGGGGGGGCUGAUAAGAGCCUACGAGUAGCUUAAUCCAAGCAUCCCCCAGCACACAAUUCUGCACUCGACGAGCACACGCAUGCACGGCCGUAGACGCUUGCUUAUUCGGAUCCCAACUUUAGCCACCGCGAAGAAAGAAGAGCUGAAGGUGUCAUUGGUGGCGGCGACCCAGUGGCUCUCCUCCCCUCGCUCUCUACACCUCCCACAACCGCCAUCGGCCCUGUGAGAUGUGGCACACGAAUUCGAUGAACCGUUCGCUUUACUCUCUCUGUCGUCUCCCCCCUCCCUCUCUCGUUGGUCUCACGCGUUGGAGCGCGUAG
rnacentral:misc_RNA from 1 species